rnacentral:rRNA from 1 species
GAUGAACGCUGGCGGCGUGCCUAAUACAUGCAAGUCGUGCGGCAGCAUGCCCUUCGGGGUGAUGGCGAGCGGCGGACGGCUGAGUAACACGUGGGAAUCCACCCCGAAGUGAGGGAUAACUGCCCGAAAGGGUAGCUAAUACCGCAUAUGGUCUUCGGAUUAAAGCUUUUAGCGCUUCGGGAGGAGCCCGCGUUCGAUUAGUUUGUUGGUGAGGUAAUGGCUCACCAAGACGAUGAUCGAUAGCUGGUCUGAGAGGAUGAUCAGCCAGACUGGGACUGAGACACGGUCGAGACUCCUACGGGAGGCAGCAGUAAGGAAUAUUCCACAAUGGGGGAAACCCUGAUGGAGCAACGCCGCGUGGAGGAUGAAGGCCUUCGGGUUGUAAACUUCUUUUCUAUGCGAAGAAUAUGACGGUAACAUAGGAAUAAGGGUCUGCUAACUACGUGCCAGCAGCCGCGGUAA